UACGUAGGGUGCAAGCGUUAAUCGGAAUUACUGGGCGUAAAGCGUGCGCAGGCGGUUUUGUAAGUCAGAUGUGAAAUCCCCGGGCUUAACCUGGGAACUGCGUUUGAAACUACAAGGCUAGAGUGUGGCAGAGGGGGGUGGAAUUCCACGUGUAGCAGUGAAAUGCGUAGAGAUGUGGAGGAACAUCAGUGGCGAAGGCGGCUACCUGGCCCAAUACUGACACUCAGGUGCGACAGCGUGGGGAGCAAACAGG
rnacentral:rRNA from 1 species